rnacentral:rRNA from 1 species
CCUACGGGAGGCAGCAGUGAGGAAUCUUGGUCAAUGGGCUUACGCCUGAACCAGCCAAGUCGCGUGAGGGAAGACUGCCCUAUGGGUUGUAAACCUCUUUUGUCAUGGAGCAACGCCGGCUACGUGUAGACGGACUGAGAGUACAUGAAGACAAAGCAUCGGCUAACUCCGUGCCAGCAGCCGCGGUAAUACGGAGGAUGCGAGCGGUAUCCGGAGUUAUUGGGUUUAAAGGGUGCGUAGGCGGAAUGCCAAGUCAGCGGUAAAAUCGGGGGGCUCAACCUCGCUCCGCCGUUGAAACUGGCGUUCUUGAGUGGGCGAGAGGUAUGCGGAAUGCGUGGUGUAGCGGUGAAAUGCAUAGAUAUCACGCAGAACUCCGAUUGCGAAGGCAGCAUACCGGCGCCCAACUGACGCUGAAGCACGAAAGCGUGGGUAUCGAACAGGAUUAGAUACCCCGGUAGUC